GAUGAACGCUGGCGGCGUGCCUAAUACAUGCAAGUCGAGCGAACAGAUGAGGAGCUUGCUCCUCUGACGUUAGCGGCGGACGGGUGAGUAACACGUGGAUAACCUACCUAUAAGACUGGGAUAACUUCGGGACACCGGAGCUAAUACCGGAUAAUAUAUUGAACCGCAUGGUUCAAUAGUGAAAGACGGUUUUGCUGUCACUUCUAGAUGGAUCCGCGCCGCAUUAGCUAGUUGGUAAGGUAACGGCUUACCAAGGCAACGAUGCGUAGCCGACCUGAGGGAGUGAUCGGCCACACUGGAACUGGGACACGGUCCAGACUCCUACGGGAGGCAGCAGUAGGGAAUCUUCCGCAAUGGGCGAAAGCCUGACGGAGCAACGCCGCGUGAGUGAUGAAGGUCUUCGGAUCGUAAAACUCUGUUAUUAGGGAAGAACAAAUGUGUAAGUAACUAUGCACGUCUUGACGGUACCUAAUCAGAAAGCCACGGCUAACUACGUG
rnacentral:rRNA from 1 species